UAAACACAGAGAAAGAGGAGUUCAGGAGGAGGAGAUGGAGUUCAAAACUACAUACAAAUAGAUUCUGCUGCUACAAUACAAGGAAGUGCAAGGACGUCCUGAUUUGAAUUAAAAUGGACGGCAAAGAGGAGGGAGUUAUGGAGGCCUCAGAGAGGGACAGCUCUGGGAAUGAAUCAGACCCUUUGAAGAGGAGCUCCAUGCCCCGAAACUGG
rnacentral:lncRNA from 1 species